GAGUUUGAUCCUGGCUCAGGAUGAACGUGGGCGGUGUGCNUAAUACAUGCAAGUCGAACGGAGUUAGUAGCAAUACUGGCUCAGUGGCGAACGGGUGAGUAACGCGCUGGUGAUCUGCCUUGAAGUGUGGAAUAACGUUUCGAAAGGAACGCUAAUACCGCAUGUGCUCUCGAUUUUCAGAAAGUUGAGAGUAAAGGAUUUAUUCGCUUCAAGAGGAGCCUGCGUCCCAUCAGCUGGUUGGUAGGGUAACGGCCUACCAAGGCUAUGACGGGUAGGGGACCUGAGAGGGUGGCCCCCCACAAUGGAACUGAAACACGGUCCAUACACCUACGGGUGGCAGCAGUAGGGAAUAUUAGAAAUGGACGAAAGUCUGAUCUAGCAACACCGCGUGUGCGAUGAAGGCCUUCGGGUCGUAAAGCACUUUUUGGAAGGAAUAGGAAGGAAUGUACUUCCAGAAUAAGUCUCGGCUAACUACGUGCCAGCAGCCGCGGUAACACGUAGGAGGCAAACGUUAUCCGGAUUUACUGGGCGUAAAGCGCGUGUAGGUGGUACUGUAAGUAGGGCGUGAAAGCUCCUGGCUCAACUGGGAGAGGCCGUUCUAAACUACAGAACUAGAGGAUGGUAGAGGGAGGUGGAAUUCCAGGUGUAGCGGUGGAAUGCGCAGAUAUCUGGAGGAACACCGGUGGCGAAGGCGGCCUCCUGGACCAUUCCUGACACUCAGACGCGAAAGCUAGGGUAGCAAACGGGAUUAGAGACCCCGGUAGUCCUAGCCCUAAACGAUGUAGACUAGGCGUCGGAAGUUUAAUCACUUUCGGUGUCCAAGCUAACGCGAUAAGUCUACCGCCUGGGGACUACGGCCGCAAGGUUAAAACUCAAAGGAAUUGACGG
rnacentral:rRNA from 1 species